UCUAAUAUUUGUCAAAAAUUACAAAUCAAAAACAUAUAAAACAACUUAAAGACAUGAAUCUAGUACUUUCUGUGAGUCUGAACAUAAAGAAAUAUGUAUGUGAAGAUGCACCAAACUAUUGAUAAUCCUCUAAAUUGAGCACAUAGUGACAUCAUUUGGUCUCACUAGAGGCAUUCAUUUAAAUAUUAAAACAACCCCUGUUCUUAUUUGCUUAGAAUAAUAAAAGAAGUUUUACUUGGUACCAAUAUAAUUAUACAGAAAAAUGAAAACACAGGCACUGAAAGUGUGUGACAAAACUCAUGUAUAAGAUGGUCCUCUAAAACAUUUAUAAAAUGCUUAUAUUAUUAUUAUAUAUAUUAUCAUAUAUAAAAAUGCAAAAAUAUUGAAAAGCAAUCUCACAGAAUUUCUCAGAUCUGCACGAUCAAUUUGUUCACCUUUUGUAUUCUGCUUACCCAUUUGUGAGAAAAAGAAAUGUUUUAAACACAAAUUCUUUUAUGCAGAACCCAGCUUCCUGCUUUGUGUUAACCUUAGGUAAAAUUAUGGGAAAAAGUUUGUCCAGUUUACUGAGAAGUCUCAUAAAGUUACACAUGAAACGCUUGUCUUUUAAAAAAAAUUCCCCCGACAGUGUGUUUAAUGCCAUCCUGUCAAAACUCCAUAUGUUUUAGCACCUUGAAUUAUUUAGAGAAUCUUAUUCUGUUAUUUAGGACCAAACUGAAUCUAUUUUCAAUGAUCUCUUUGCCCCUCAGAUACCAUUAGAACUCAGGAGACAGGAAGUGGAGUGGAAGAGAGACACGGUUGGUAUUUUAAACAUCUCUAGUCAGCUCCCUUUGAGGUGUUAGAUCCACCACUGUGGGAAGAGGCAAAGGAAAAGGGAGAAGGUGCCCUUACUUGAUUGGCAAAUUGUUAAUCCUCUGUCGGCUAACACUGGCUAGCUUUCAAAAACCAAAAAGGGCAGGAUUCUGAAUGCGUUUUCACUUGUGGAUGUUUUUAUGAGUACUUCAGAAGGGCCUAUGCAGGACUCUAUUCUGUACAGUUUCUUGAUGUAGAAGAUCCUGCUGGAACUCAUCGUCUCCACGCCUAUCUCAGUCUUGGCCAAAUUGAAAUCUCUCUGCAAAAUCCAGCCUCGUUUCUUCUAGUCGUUCCAUUGUAUUGGUUGAGGAAUGAGUUCCAUGGUGAUGUUGGACUGAUUCUAGCACCUUUCAAAGCAGCCCUCUAUGAAAUGGCUGAGCUCGCUGAGUAGAGACUCUCUAAACUUUGAUUUUGGCUACUGAACAUUUUUUCUCUCAACACUGGGCCUUAGUCACAGUUCUGAUAUGAUUGGGAAAAACAUCCCCUGGACAUAAACUAUGACUGGAAUUAACACUUGCAAAUUUUUCUGACUGAAUGCAAUAAUUUUACUCAUUUUAACUAGUUCCAGGGUGACAAAUUGUGUGAUUCUCUCCUACUGUCCUAUUCUACAUGGUACAUAAAGCGCAUAAAAACAGUAUUUCUCAUUAAAGACACUUUGAAUCAUGUUCCACACCCGGCCUAUGAUUUGUGCAUUAUGAAACACAUUUUGGAAGAAUAAUUUUACUUUUAGCCUUUUUUGUGUUUUUGACUAUUUAUUCAUCUCCCGUAUCUCUCUUAACAUCUUUUAACAUCUUAAUAUCUCUCAACAUUUAGUUGGUAUUUAUUCAUUAAUCAAAAUUUAUAUUUUAACCGAUGUACCAUGUAUUGGCUUAGAGAAUAGACACUGUCCCUAUUUUUAUGGUACUUUUUUCCCUACCACCCAAGAGACUGUUAAAUUAAUUCGGUGUUAGAGUUGUCUCAGUGAGUGCUAGUUUUGGAGAGCAAAAUGAUAAUGAAUGAUUUUUAGCAGAGCAUUAAAAUGAGAAAUUUAUAGCCAACAUAAUCCUUAAUGUCCAAGAAUAAAUGCAAGUAUAAUUCCAUUAAUUGUAUUGCUCAUAGCAUUACUAUUAAAAAUGGCUUAUACCAUUUAAUUUUAAGCAAAAGGGAAAAUUCAAGCUCUCAUUAACAUUUAGCAUUGAGAGUAUCAAUUGGAUAUAACAAAAAUCACUUAAUUUUAAGCAAAAAUUUACCUUAAAACAUUGUGUAAAAUGUAAAGGAAGCAUAAAAAUGCUUUAAUCACUGCAGAACAACUAUGUGGACAUCAGGGAACUUAGCUCCUGGCACAUCUUCAAAAUUUCCAGGCGCCAACAAGCAUUUUUUCCCUUGCUUAUAUUCCUAAUCAAUGCAUCUACUUACAACAAUAUUCCAUUUGUUGCCCCACUUGUAGCUCUAUGAUUAUCAUCACAUCAAGUAUAUGUCCUUGAUUUUUGGUUAUGUUUAUAACAAGUUAAUAAAUAUACCAAAUAAACUAAGCAAAAAAACAAAGAAACAAAAUCUUCUGAAAGUAGAAUGGAAUUUAAACAUUAAACAACUAACUUCAUUUGAGGUUUUCAGAGAGGGAAGACAACUCACCACAACAAAUUUAGCAAAAUGCAAGGAAUACAGUUUUUCUUUGGCUGAAGGGAUACCCGGGCAAAUGGAAUGACUCUGGUCCAAUUUCCCUUGUAAACUUGCCAGCAAACAAACAUCUUGGAGAGCACAUAAAUGAUAAUUACCAACAGAAAAAUAAUAGGGAAUAUUUAUCUAUGAAAUGUCUUUGGCAGGAUUCACCCAGUCUAUCUAGGUUGCAUAGAAUAAAUAAACCUGAAAUUUAUUGACUUGUGGGGCAUGUUGGCUAGAGGCUUUCAUGUGAGCUGAGUAUUUAAUAGGAUAAUGACAGGGAGAUGGUCCAGAACUAAAACAUCUCUCUCUGAGAAGGCAAUAUUCCUCAUGUAUUGCUUAACCAUUGCAUGCUAAAUCUGAUCCAGAAUGCAUCCCAAGCAGAACAGAGAGAAUCUUUAGGGUGCUUUGUUAACAAUCCUGGACUUCUUUCACUAGACAAGAAUGCUUUACAAAUCACAAGAUGACCUGUAUAUUUUGAAAUAUUAAUAAAGUUUGGUAUUGGUUAAUA